rnacentral:rRNA from 1 species
UCCGUAGGUGAACCUGCGGAAGAUCAUUG